GAUGAACGCUGGCGGCGUGCUUAACACAUGCAAGUCGAACGAAGCAUUUAGGACAGAUUACUUCGGUUUGAAGUUCUUUAUGACUGAGUGGCGGACGGGUGAGUAACGCGUGGGUAACCUGCCUUGUACUGGGGGAUAGCAGCUGGAAACGGCUGGUAAUACCGCAUAAGCGCACAAUGUUGCAUGACAUGGUGUGAAAAACUCCGGUGGUAUAAGAUGGACCCGCGUCUGAUUAGCUAGUUGGUGAGAUAACAGCCCACCAAGGCGACGAUCAGUAGCCGACCUGAGAGGGUGACCGGCCACAGUGGGACUGAGACACGGCCCAGACUCCUACGGGAGUCAGCAGUGGGGAAUAUUGCACAAUGGAGGAAACUCUGAUGCGGCGACGCCGCGUGAGUGAAGAAGUAAUUCGUUAUGUAAAGCUCUAUCAGCAGGGAAGAUAGUGACGGUACCUGACUAAGAAGCUCCGGCUAAAUACGUG
rnacentral:rRNA from 1 species